GAGUUUGAUCUUGGCUCAGAACGAACGCUGGCGGCAUGCCUAACACAUGCAAGUCGAACGGGGAUCCGGACUUCGGUUCGGUGAGAGUGGCGGACGGGUGAGUAACGCGUGGGAACCUGCCCAGUGGUGGGGGAUAAACUGCGGGAAACUGCAGCUAAUACCGCAUGAGCCCGAGAGGGGAAAGAUUUAUCGCCAUUGGAGGGGCCCGCGUUCGAUUAGGUAGUUGGUGGGGUAAAGGCCUACCAAGCCGACGAUCGAUAGCUGGUCUGAGAGGAUGAUCAGCCACACUGGGACUGAGAUACGGCCCAGACUCCUACGGGAGGCAGCAGUGGGGAAUAUUGGACAAUGGGGGCAACCCUGAUCCAGCAAUGCCGCGUGAGUGAUGAAGGCCUUCGGUUGUAA
rnacentral:rRNA from 1 species